UUUGAAACAGUUGAUUUUUAGAAGAUCAGAGAGUCAUCUUCUUGACACGGACCUGAGGUCAGCACAACAUUGUCCAGCCCGAUCUCCCCUCCGACUCCUCUCCCGCGCUGCGCUUCAAAGAUGAUCUGCCACAGUGAGGAGCUCUGUCUGCCAUUCCUGAUUCCUGCUGUGGCUCUGUUCCCACACCGGAUUUUAUGAUUGCUGCCUGCCAGAAAACUGGAAACUCAGAAAUGUUUGACCUCCAACCGGGACUUCACUGAGAUGCAUCCUCUGAUCUGGAGCCAGCUGCAGCCCCACAGAGGGGCAGAGGCAGCGAAUCUCCCCCUGAACCUCCUCACAGCCGUACUGACAAUGAGCGAGCGAGCAGUAGGUAGUUGGAUGAGACUCACUGGCACAAGAUCCAUCAGGCAUCAGCGUGUAUCCGUUGAGGCAGUAACACUUGUAACUGCCAUGGGUGUUCAUGCAGCGAUGUUCACACGGACGAGGGAUCAAACCGCAUUCGUUCAAAUCUUGAAAUACCAAAGCAACACUCCAGCCUCCUGCCAUAGCGACACACACCUGGUUGGUUUCCAGUAGAAACUUGUCUGUGCUGCCUUUGUAGAGGAGCAGAGAGGUUCAAGGGUCCCGGGCGUGCUGGAGCCUAUCCCAGCUAUCUUCAGGCGAGAGGCGGGUUACACCCUGAACUGGUCGCCAGCCAAUCGCAGGGCACAGAAAUAAACAGCCAUCUGCACGCACAUUCAUUUUAAUAUGUACUGUACAUACUGUCUUUCCUUAUUCAAAUAUCAGAAGUGUGAGUAGAACCAUUUUCAAACUUAUCUGUUGAAGCAAAAAAAAAAAAAAGUUCCCAUUUCUGGGUGUGUAACCUGUCACGUUUGCUGAUUACAGUACUGUUGCUUUGAGCAAGGUUAUUGCACAGCAAACUGUUAACCAGCAGGGGGAGACCUGUGCCAACAUGCAACAAGACACCAGUCGUUAGCUAGAUGAAAUGUUGCAGUUAAUGAGUGGCAAACAUGAUUUGACUGUGGCUUAUUUAAACUGAUCGCUGUUUUGCUUCUGUAUUGAUUUUGGAUUACAAUAAAUUGUCUUUGUAAAUACUUCA